CAACAGCGCCAUCGAUAUCGUAGCGAUCGACAAAAGAAAUAUCAGAAAUAGCCGCCAUUAUUGUGAUGUUUUACUCCUCUUAUCUGUUUUAAAAUAACGAUAGUUACUUAACAUCGUUUCUUUUAACGUAUUCGUUGUAAUGGCAGAUCGAUUCUCUCAAAUGUUCUUCGAUGUAGAAAUGUCAUUUCCACCACCUGGACCUCCAAUGCCAAUGCCUGGCAUGCCUCCUGUUCCACCAAUGAUGCCUCCACCAUAUGCUGUUCCACCAAUGGGUAAGAUUUCUAUAUUAAACAUAUUUUACAUUUUUUUU